rnacentral:tRNA from 6 species
GCGUCCAUAGCUCAGUUGGUAGAGCAGGGGACUCUUAAUCCCAAGGUCGCAGGUUCGAUCCCUGCUGGACGCACCA